rnacentral:lncRNA from 1 species
AUCUUUCUUCAGAACAUAUUGUAUAAAACUAACCCACUUUCUAUCAGCAAUGGGAUACAAUACACCAACAUAUAGUUACUUUAUUAUCUCUUUCUUUACCACCUCCUACAUAGGAGGAUUGAGUCAACGCUGAUAUUCUAUACUUGGAACACAAUCCAACUCAAGUAAAUUUUAUGAGUAUAAAAACCAAAUGGGGUACCUAUAAUAUUUACAAUAGAUCAACCAAU